AGAGUUUGAUCAUGGCUCAGGAUGAACGCUAGCUACAGGCUUAACACAUGCAAGUCGAGGGGAAACGACAUCGAAAGCUUGCUUUUGAUGGGCGUCGACCGGCGCACGGGUGAGUAACGCGUAUCCAACCUGCCCACCACUUGGGGAUAACCUUGCGAAAGUAAGACUAAUACCCAAUGACGUCUCUAGAAGACAUCUGAAAGAGAUUAAAGAUUUAUCGGUGAUGGAUGGGGAUGCGUCUGAUUAGCUUGUGGCGGGGUAACGCCACCAAGGCGACGAUCAGUAGGGGUUCUGGAGAGGAAGGUCCCCCANACUUGGAACUGAGACACGGUCCAAACUCCUACGGGAGGCA
rnacentral:rRNA from 1 species